GAACCUGAAGAACGGCAAGAAAAUGUCUGGUGGGAGUCAUAUGUUUUCCGAGUCAUCCGACUACAAAUGCACCCCUGUUGUUGGUACAAAGGAGAAAAAGUCCUCACCUAUAAAUUCUUCGAAAGAGAAUGUUAAGCAUUUGAAAAAUGAAGGGAAAAUUUCCACAUUUUCUUGCGUUGGUACAAAGGAGAAAAAGUCAUCACCUAUAAAUUCUUCUAAAGAGAGCGUUAAGCAUAUGAAAAAUGAGGGGACAAUCUCAGCAUUUUCUUUACCUAAACUGUUUACAAACAAAACUAGCGGUUCUUUUUGCCUUGGCGGUGUUAAAAUAAAGAAUCCAGGUCCGCCAUUACGUGUAGGGCUAUCAAGAAACCAUAAAGUAAAACCACUUCACAAUAACGUUACGCUUUCUCAAUAACAACUUACUUACACCAAAAUAUUUUAUCUCUGUUUUAAAAAAAUAUGUGAAAUGAGUUGUAGGUGAUUUGUAAAUAUUUCAAUGUAUAAUAAACAUUGUAAUUAUACACUAAAAAAAAACUCAAAA